CUGUUGCGGGCGGUUAGAUGUGGCGGGAGCUCUUCCUUCAUUAGCUCGCCCAGUAUGACGAUCACCUACAGCUGCAUUGCAAAUGGCCGAGCGGUCCUAGCGGAGCUGGCCCUAACCGGCGGGUCUUAUCAGGAAGCAGCAGCAGCAGUGCUUAAGCUAGUACUUCUUAGAGCUGAACCAAAGACCAUGAUUCAAAUGGGAAGCUUUGUCUACCAUACUCUCUUUAUUGACGGAAUCACUUACCUUUGUGCCUCAGACAAUGCCUUAGAUAUUUUAACACCAUCUGCAUUUCUUAAAAAUAUGAAAUAUAAUACAAAUCAAGUUGACAGCUCGAUAUCCACACUGAAGAGUCAAGUAACUGAUGUAAAAAAUGUUAUGACCCAAAAUAUCGAUAAAAUUUUGGAAAGCGAAGACAGAUUGAAUAUCUUCACUGGUAGAAUGGAUGAUCUGCAAACAACUGUGAGUGUUCCACAGCUGUCUUGAUACCCAAACAGUGCUCUAAGUCAUAGGAUCCCUGCUCUGGAGACAAACUGCCCAAAGCAAAAACAUUCUGGGACACUCAGUGAGAUGAUCCUGUAUCACCAGACUCUCUCUUUAUCAAAGAUUAUUGCAGUGCAACUAAAAUAGUAAAAGGAUAAUUCUAAAACAACCCAAAUUUUAAAGCCUAUUAAAGGAGAAAAUGGUUAUUUGUGUAACUGAAGGAUUUCCUAUUUAAGAAACACACAGGUUAGUCAACAAAUAAAUUCCAAGAGGAAAAGGAGAGCGAAACUUAG
rnacentral:lncRNA from 1 species